rnacentral:rRNA from 1 species
GACGAACGCUGGCGGCGUGCUUAACACAUGCAAGUCGAACGGUGAAAGCGGAGCUUGCUCCGCUGGAUCAGUGGCGAACGGGUGAGUAACGCGUGGGCAACCUGCCCCUGACUUCGGGAUAACUCCUCGAAAGAGGUGCUAAUACCGGAUACGAGCUGCGAAGGCAUCUUCAGCAGCUGGAAAGAACUUCGGUCAGGGAUGAGCUCGCGGCCUAUCAGCUAGUUGGUGAGGUAACGGCUCACCAAGGCGUCGACGGGUAGCCGGCCUGAGAGGGUGACCGGCCACAGUGGGACUGAGACACGGCCCAGACUCCUACGGGAGGCAGCAGUGGGGAAUAUUGCACAAUGGGCGAAAGCCUGAUGCAGCAACGCCGCGUGAGGGACGACGGCCUUCGGGUUGUAAACCUCUUUUAGCAGGGAAGAAGCGAAAGUGACGGUACCUGCAGAAAAAGCGCCGGCUAACUACGUGCCAGCCGCCGCCGUAA